rnacentral:rRNA from 1 species
AUUGAACGCUGGCGGCAUGCUUUACACAUGCAAGUCGAACGGCAGCGCGGGCUUCGGCCUGGCGGCGAGUGGCGAACGGGUGAGUAAUGCAUCGGAACGUGCCCAGUAGUGGGGGAUAGCCCGGCGAAAGCCGGAUUAAUACCGCAUACGACCUGAGGGUGAAAGCGGGGGACCGAAAGGCCUCGCGCUAUUGGAGCGGCCGAUGUCGGAUUAGCUAGUUGGUGGGGUAAAGGCUUGCCAAGGCGACGAUCCGUAGCUGGUCUGAGAGGACGACCAGCCACACUGGGACUGAGACACGGCCCAGACUCCUACGGGAGGCAGCAGUGGGGAAUUUUGGACAAAGGGGGCAACCCUGAUCCAGCCAUGCCGCGUGCGGGAAGAAGGCCUUCGGGUUGUAAACCGCUUUUGUUCGGGAAGAAAUCCUCUGGGCUAAUACCCCGGGGGGAUGACGGUACCGGAAGAAUAAGCACCGGCUAACUACGUG